UACGGAAGGCAGCAGUGGGGAAUAUUGCACAAUGGGCGCAAGCCUGAUGCAGCCAUGCCGCGUGUAUGAAAAAGGCCUUCGGGUUGUAAAGUACUUUCAGUCGUGAGGAAGGUGUUAAGGUUAAUAACCUUAGCAAUUGACGUUAGCGACAGAAGAAGCACCGGCUAACUCCGUGCCAGCAGCCGCGGUAAUACGGAGGGUGCGAGCGUUAAUCGGAAUUACUGGGCGUAAAGGGCACGCAGGCGGUUAAUUAAGUUGGAUGUGAAAUCCCCGGGCUUAACCUGGGAAUGGCAUUCAAGACUGGUUAGCUAGAGUCUUGUAGAGGGGGUAGAAUUCCAUGUGUAGCGGUGAAAUGCGUAGAGAUGUGGAGGAAUACCGGUGGCGAAGGCGGCCCCUGGACAAAGGCUGACGCUCAUGUGCGAAAGCGUGGGGAGCGAAAC
rnacentral:rRNA from 1 species